rnacentral:rRNA from 1 species
UCGCCUACGGGAGGCAGCAGUGAGGAAUAUUGGUCAAUGGGAGAGAUCCUGAACCAGCCAAGCCGCGUGAGGGAAGACGGCCCUAUGGGUUGUAAACCUCUUUUGUCGGAGAACAAAACCCGGGACGUGUCCCGGACUGCGUGUAUCCGAAGAAAAAGCAUCGGCUAACUCCGUGCCAGCAGCCGCGGUAAUACGGAGGAUGCGAGCGUUAUCCGGAUUUAUUGGGUUUAAAGGGUGCGCAGGCGGGCUGUUAAGCCGGCGGUAAAAAUUCAGGGCUCAACCCUGUCGAGCCGUCGGAACUGGCG